rnacentral:tRNA from 1 species
GCGGGAGUAGUUCAAUGGUAGAACUUCAGCCUUCCAAGCUGAUCACGCGGGUUCGAUUCCCGUCUCCCGCU